UUGGUAACACAUGUUAGCUCAAGGCCAAUCUUCCUCACCAAAGAAGCAUUUAAAAAAAGAAAAAACUAGUUCUAAAUGGGGAAAAACUUAUUGCAUAAUAUUCUUCAUUAGAGAGUUAUUCAUAAUAAAUAGAACUUAGAAAAAGCCUAAUAACCAACACUGGAGAAAUGGCUAAACAAACAGUAAACUGUGGAACUCUCCAGUGAUGCAAUAUUACACAGCCAGGAAAAUACUCCUCCCUCAAAAGUUUGUAAUAACAUGAGAAAAUGCUCAUAUAAUAAGGUUAAAUGUAAAGAGCAAGAUAUUAGGAUCUGUUUAUCUAUGUGGGUAAAAUUAUGUAUAAUAAUAGUCUCAACUAUUUUAACAAUAUGCUCAGAAAAAGAACAUAAAUGCUAAACACUAAAAUGUUAGUGGUUAUCUUGGGCAGUGAAAUUAUGUUUAUUAGUUUUCUUUUAAUUUUUUAUUAAAAUGAAUUUUAUUAAAAAAUGUUAGCAUUUUCUGUAAGCAGAUAAAUUUUUAAAAAGAAGCAAUUAUCUGGUCAAUAUCAAAACCUGUGUUUCCCCAUCGGCUAAUCCAUGCUGUGUUCACUAAUAAGGUCUUGGCUGUUAACUUUAUCUUCAUUGUCUUCCUCUUGACUGUCCAGGUCCCUGUAAUGGUCACAGAGAAUCUGAGCUGGCGAAUUGAGUGUGAACAUAGCCCGCCACAGCAAUAUUGCUGCCUAAUAAGUUGAUUGAUCGGUAUGAAGCAAGAGCAUACUGACCUUUGUUGCUUUCUUUUGCUGUAAUACUGAUAAAAUGUCCACCAUGAUGAAUAUGAGAGUAUAUAUUUUCUAGUGGUUUUGUCUUUGUGGAUGACCUCAGGCCAGCAGACUGGCAGCAGGAGCCAUGCCGAGAGCAGAGGAACCAUGCUGGGUAGCACGGCCAGCUCAUCCUCUAAGCCCAGAGCCCAGCUUGCAACAGAAGUAGAUGAGGUAUGAUGAGAACAGAACAGGUGUUCUCAAAAAAAGAUGUAACUUUUAAAAACUUGGAGACUGAAGAUCACAAUGGAUCAUCAAAAAAUGCAAAAGUAUCAGUCAUAUCUGGAGCCCAUGUUGGAAAAUAUCAAGAAGAGAGGAAGGACAAGGAGAUUUAUUUGAUGUAGCAAGUUCAGAGAGGGAUUCAGGAACAUCAGAGAAGAAUUUGAAAAGCGUGAUCCGGAAAAAAGUAGUCAAGGUUGGAAAGGAAGAUGUCAUUUCAGUCCUGAAAAAGUUUGACUUGCAUCUGAAGGACGAAUAUUUUGACGAUUUCCUGAAGAGAUGCGACCUUCUAAACAGUCUGACUGGCCGUAGGAAUUUGGAUACCUGAGAAACAUCCAGGAUGGCAGCGAUGAAGGGACCACGCGCAGUCCUCUCCAAGCCCGUGCGCAGGUUGCACGGACCCUCUAUAUUGUUACUGCUAGUCUUCUAAUCAGCUAUCUCCUACCAGACCCGUUGAUAAACACAAAGGACGGUCCUCACCUUUGUGGUGCCCUGUCCUCCUGGAGACCUUGCCAUUAAUGGACAAGGGCAGCCUGGUCCAGAGACGGUCCAUGAGAAGUUGGCCUUGGGAAACAAAAGUGCUACAGGAAUGAACCUACUCUGUAUUGUUACUAAAACCGUUAGUGUUAUUGUUAUUAAAAUUACUUUCAUUUAAGAACCAGUGUGCUUUCUCUGGCUGAGGAGGUUACCAAAGUGCACAGGAGGAGACAGAAGUGCCAAUGUGAUAUGACUCACUUCCCCCUGAACAACUCCUUAAUUUUCCCAGUGCCACUCUUUAUUUUUAGCUUUGGCCUUCUGCAACACUUGACCUUUUGCCUGGAUGGAGCAAUGUACUGUGGAGCUCAAACCCACAGCCAUCCCUGUCCUGUGCUAUGUAGGGGAUGUACGCGUUAGAUUAUGUCUUCUUUGGAAGAUUAUGCAAUCCAGAAUGGUCUUUUAGGACAAAGUAAACUGUUUAUAGUUCACACACACACACACACACGUCCCUUUGGUAACAUUGCCUUGCACGUCUGGAUUGUAAUCGUGUCUUUAACAUCUCCUCUGUCAUCUGCUGCAAGAGAUAAGUAUAAUUUUUAACAUUUGUGAAUGUAUUUUAAAAAUGUGGAUAAGGAUUUUGUAUCAAAAUAUUCAUCCCACUUGGUUUAGAAUAACAAAAACUUGGA